CCUACGGGGUGCAGCAGUGGGGAAUAUUGCACAAUGGGGGAAACCCUGAUGCAGCGACGCCGCGUGAGUGAAGAAGUAUUUCGGUAUGUAAAGCUCUAUCAGCAGGGAAGAAAUAGCGACCUUUGGGUCGCCAGACGGUACCUGACUAAGAAGCCCCGGCUAACUACGCGCCAGCAGCCGCGGUAAUACGUAGGGGGCAAGCGUUAUCCGGGUUUACUGGGUGUAAAGGGAGCGUAGACGGCAGCACAAGUCUGAAGUGAAAUGCCGGGGCUUAACCCCGGAACUGCUGUGGAAACUGUGCAGCUAGAGUGCAGGAGAGGUAAGUGGAAUUCCUAGUGUAGCGGUGAAAUGCGUAGAUAUUAGGAGGAACACCAGUGGCGAAGGCGGCUUACUGGACUGUAACUGACGUUGAGGCUCGAAAGCGUGGGGAGCAAACAGGAUUAGAUACCCUGGUAGUC
rnacentral:rRNA from 1 species